rnacentral:lncRNA from 1 species
CCACAUUGCUGAUGAAACCAAAGAGGAUAUAUGUACUGCCCAACACUGCAUUUCCCAUCAGAAAUUUGCAAUGACAUUGUUUGAGCAGUGUGUAUGUACUAGCUGUGGUGCCACUUCUGAUCCGCUGCCUUUCAUCCAGAUGGUACAUUAUAUCUCCACCACUUCCCUUUGCAAUCAGGCUAUUUGUAUGCUGGAAAGACGAGAGAAACCUUCACCAAGCAUGUUUGGUGAGCUGCUGCAGAAUGCCAGCACCAUGGGGGAUCUGCGGAACUGUCCAGU